rnacentral:rRNA from 1 species
AGUCGAGGGGCAGCAUUUUAGUUUGCUUGCAAACUAAAGAUGGCGACCGGCGCACGGGCUGAGCUAACACGCUAUCCAACCUGCCGAUAACUCGGGGAUAGCCUUUCGAAAGAAAGAUUAAUAUCCGAUAGUAUAUUAAAACCGCAUGGUUUUACUAUUAAAGAAUUUCGGUUAUCGAUGGGGAUGCGUUCCAUUAGUUUGUUGGCGGGGUAACGGCCCACCAAGACUACNAUGGAUAGGGGUUCUGAGAGGAAGGUCCCCCACAUUGGAACUGAGACACGGUCCAAACUCAUACGGGAGGCAGCAGUGAGGAAAAUUNGGUCAAUGGACGAGAGUCUGAACCAGCCCAAGUAGCGUGAANGGAUGACUCCCCCUAUGGGUUGUNAAACUUCUUUUAUAUGGAAAUAAAGUAUUCCACGUGUGGAAUUUUGUAUGUACCAUAUGAAUAAGGAUCGGCUAACUCCGUGCCAGCAGCCGCGGUAAUACGGAGGAUCCGAGCGUUAUCCGGAUUUAUUGGGUUUAAAGGGAGCGUAGGUGGAUUGUUAAGUCAGUUGUGAAAGUUUGCGGCUCAACCGUAAAAUUGCAGUUGAAAACUGGCAGUCUUGAGUACAGUAGAGGUGGGCGGAAUUCGUGGUGUAGCGGUGAAAUGCUUAGAUAUCACGAAGAACUCCGAUUGCGAAGGCAGCUCACUAGACUGCAACUGACACUGAUGCUCGAAAGUGUGGGUAUCAAACAGGAUUAGAUACCCUGGUAGUCCACACAGUAAACGAUGAAUACUCGCUGUUUGCGAUAUACAGUAAGCGGCCAAGCGAAAGCAUUAAGUAUUCCACCUGGGGAGUACGCCGGCAACGGUGAAACUCAAAGGGAAUUGACGGGGGGCCCGCACAAGCGGAAGNAACAUGUGGGUUUAAUUCGAUGAUACGCGAGGAACCUUACCCGGGCUUAAAUUGCAUUUGAAUAAUCUGGAAACAGGGUUACCCGCAAGGCAAAUGUGAAGGUGCUGCAUGGUUGUCGUCAGCUCGUGCCGUGAGGUGUCGGCUUAAGUGCCAUAACGAGCGCAACCCUUAUCUUUAGUUACUAACAGGUCAUGCUGAGGACUCUAGAGAGACUGCCGUCGUAAGAUGUGAGGAAGGUGGGGAUGACGUCAAAUCAGCACGGCCCUUACGUCCGGGGCUACACACGUGUUACAAUGGGGGGUACAGAAGGCAGCUACCUGGCGACAGGAUGCUAAUCCCAAAAACCUCUCUCAGUUCGGAUCGAAGUCUGCAACCCGACUUCGUGAAGCUGGAUUCGCUAGUAAUCGCGCAUCAGCCAUGGCGCGGUGAAUACGUUCCCGGGCCUUGUACACACCGCCCGUCAAGCCAUGAAAGCCGGGGGUACCUGAAGUACGNACCGCAA